UACGUAGGCAGCAAGCGUUGUUCGGAGUUACUGGGCGUAAAGGGUGUGUAGGCGGUUGCUUAAGUUUGGUGUGAAAUCUCCCGGCUCAACUGGGAGGGUGCGCCGAAUACUGAGUGACUAGAGUGCGGGAGAGGAAAGUGGAAUUCGUGGUGUAGCGGUGAAAUGCGCAGAUAAUCAGGAGGAACAGCCGGUGGCGAAGGCGGGUCUCUGGGCCGAUACUGACGCUGAGGUGCGAAAGCGUGGGGAGCAAACAGG
rnacentral:rRNA from 1 species